rnacentral:rRNA from 1 species
AGGGGCAGCAUGACUGUAGCAAUACAGUUGAUGGCGACCGGCAAACGGGUGCGGAACACGUACAGAACCUCCCUUCGAGCGGGGAAUAGCCCGGAGAAAUCCGGAUUAAUACCCCAUAGUAUGGUGAAGAGGCAUCUCUUUACUAUUAAAGAUUUAUCACUUGAAGAUGGCUGUGCGGCUGAUUAGGUAGUUGGCGGGGUAACGGCCCACCAAGCCUGCGAUCAGUAACUGGUGUGAGAGCACGACCAGUCACACGGGCACUGAGACACGGGCCCGACUCCUACGGGAGGCAGCAGUAAGGAAUAUUGGUCAAUGGACGAAAGUCUGAACCAGCCAUGCCGCGUGGAGGAUGAAGGCCCUCUGGAUUGUAAACUUCUUUUAUAUGGGACGAAAAAAGGCUUUUCCAGGUCGUCUGACGGUACCAUAUGAAUAAGCACCGGCUAACUCCGUGCCAGCAGCCGCGGUAAUACGGAGGGUGCAAGCGUUAUCCGGAUUCACUGGGUUUAAAGGGUGCGUAGGUGGGUUGAUAAGUCAGUGGUGAAAUCCCCGAGCUUAACUUGGGAACUGCCAUUGAUACUAUUGAUCUUGAAUACCGUGGAGGUCAGCGGAAUAUGUCAUGUAGCGGUGAAAUGCUUAGAUAUGACAUAGAACACCAAUUGCGAAGGCAGCUGGCUACGCGAAUAUUGACACUGAUGCACGAAAGCGUGGGGAUCAAACAGGAUUAGAUACCCUGGUAGUCCACGCCCUAAACUAUGGAUACUCGACAUCAGCGAUACACUGUUGGUGUCUGAGCG